rnacentral:rRNA from 1 species
AUUGAACGCUGGCGGCAGGCUUAACACAUGCAAGUCGAGCGGGGUGAUGGUGCUUGCACUAUCACUUAGCGGCGGACGGGUGAGUAAUGCUUAGGAAUCUGCCUAUUAGUGGGGGACAACAUCUCGAAAGGGAUGCUAAUACCGCAUACGUCCUACGGGAGAAAGCAGGGGAUCACUUGUGACCUUGCGCUAAUAGAUGAGCCUAAGUCGGAUUAGCUAGUUGGUGGGGUAAAGGCCUACCAAGGCGACGAUCUGUAGCGGGUCUGAGAGGAUGAUCCGCCACAAUAGGACUGAGACACGGCCCAGACUCCUACGGGAGGCAGCAGUGGGGAAUAUUGGACCAUGGGGGGAACCCUGAUCCAGCCAUGCCGCGUGUGUGAAGAAGGCCUUAUGGUUGUAAAGCACUUUAAGCGAGGAGGAGGCUCUUUUGGUUAAUACCCAAGAUGAGUGGACGUUACUCGCAGAAUAAGCACCGGCUAACUCUGUGCCAGCCGCCGCGGUAA